UGACUUGAUCCUCAUGGAUUGUCAAAUGCCGAAGAUGGAUGGUUAUGAAGCAACAAAGGCAAUUAGAAAAUCAGAAAUGGGGACAGGAACACACAUUCCCAUUGUUGCACUAACAGCUCAUGCAAUGUCAUCAGAUGAAGCAAAAUGCUUACAGGUUGGUAUGGAUGCUUAUUUAACCAAGCCCAUAGACAGCAAGUUGAUGGUUUCCACCAUUCUUUCCUUGACUAAAAGAAAAGCCUAACCAUCAUACCUCUCUAUCAAAAACGGAAGAAACAAACAAAAAUGGAAGAGCUCAGAAAACUCAUGAGCUUAAAGCAGA
rnacentral:misc_RNA from 1 species